CGGGGACGCGGCGGUGUAUUACUGCGCCCUGGACCCACGGGAACAUGUCCCUCUCACGGCUCCGCAUCCUCCGGAGUAAGGCGUUCCAGCUGCACACCCUGCUGAGCACGGCAUGUCGAGGUCACAAACACCUGGAUGGAGGUCAGAACACUUCAGCCCCUCACUGAUAGGCCAGUUAGGGAACCACCGCUGUUAGAUUAGGAGUGACCUACAGCUUUGUGAAGUUCAAGUGACAAGAUGAGAAAAAAGAUGAGCAAUGCUCUUGAGGGACUUGUGGGGCUACGCACACAUUUUAAGGAAUGUUAACGGAAAAGUCAAAGGUGUCACAAAGUGGCUUGUAGAGAGGAACAAUGGGAUGCACUGCAGAGGAGGGAGGACACAAAUUUCCAGUCAGUACACCUUCAGGGAUGAGCCCUAUGCCUGACCACCACAGACAAACCUUUCUUCUUCUUAUUUCCCGACUUGUCUGUGCAGCAUUGAAACUGUGCUCUCUUUCUCAUGUGGGAGCACCCCAAGGUCUAGGCCAGUAGAUGUAGUGACUGCUGUGCAGGAGAGAUCUGAGUGCCACUGGCCAGAACAACAUCCACAGCACAUCAGGAUUAAACCAGUGACUGGGCGGAAAGUGUUUUAGAUUCUCCAAGAGAGGUGUGUGAGGAAACACAAAGCCUGGGAGAGGAGGUUCAGCAGGCUGAGAUCCCAUGGUAAUAUCUGGGGGAUCAGCAUGAGUGUGGGGAUGUGUGUGAGAGGAGUGGGUGACUGCAUGCAUCUGUUGGCCAGUGAACAGCAGGCUGGCCUAUCCUGAGCAAAGGAGGAGACCCGAAUGCUAGGUAAGGGAAGCCAGGCAGGCUCCAGGCAGGAGGUAUUGGAUGUGCUGAGGGCCCGUGCUGGCACUGAUGGGCUGUGUGACUGUGGGAGUGCUUGUGAAGCUAGUGGGUGAAAGUGUGUGCUUCCACUGGGGUGUGCACUCACUUGUCACACACAGGGAGUGCCCUGCCUGUGGAGCCAGCAGAGUCAUUUCCGGCAGCUCUGUCACCUUGGGGCUGGGAGGUGGUUUUCUGCCUCUUUCUCACUCAGCAAACAGGAGGCUCGGUCUCAGCAUGCACCGCAGCUAUCUCGUCCUCACUGCCUUCCUGGGACAACUGCUGGGUAAGUGCUGGCUUUUAAUCAAGGCAUCCAUCUUCUCCCCACGAAGCGCUCACCAGCCUCACCAGGGCUUGGUGGCAAAUGGCUCCUGAGUAACAAUAAACCUUGGGCAAAUAGUGACUGCCUGUUGUGGCUUUGCACCACUUCUCUCAAGAUACUGCAGCUGUUGGAAACGACAGUGGAAAAUGGGAGAAGAGACCUCUGACCCUCUCCUGCUUUUCUCUUCCCUUCCCUCUCUCUCUUUCUCUUCCUUUCUCUUCUGGCCCACCUGCUGCCACCCCCAGAGAUUGCAGCCAUCUCUGCAGUCCCACAUUUCUGCUUUUCCCACAGAAAGAAGCAGAUCCUGCCACAGUCACAGCAGUGACAUUAAACAUCUCAUCAUAUCAGCAUUAAGGGGACGCUGUGUGGAGAACACUGACCAUGGCCUCCAGAGUUCUCCUGGUUAUCAGCACAGCCAGAAAUCACACUUGUCAGUCCACAGGUCAGCUUAGAGUAUACUGAGGGACUUAGGAGCCCUCCAAGAUGACAGGGAUGCAGAAGCAAGGUGCAUCUUGACCCAAUAGCUCCAUGGGUCCUUCAACGUGCAGAGCCAGGACAGGCUAUUCCCUGUUCCUCUCAACAGGGGCACAGCACAGGGUCCGCUCUGGCCCACCAAGUCAGAGCUUCUUCCAAAACCACCUUGCUAUGCCCAGGCCUCAACACCUUUCUGCACAACAAAGCACAGGGAGCCUUCUCUCCCACUGGUUUGUAAGUUGGCAGCCUGGAGCCUUCCCUGCAGAGCUGCUCACCUUUGCUUUCUUCUUCCAGAUGCCAUGGGGCAGACCAUUGUCAGCCAGCAAGAAGGACAGGUCACAGUGGAGGAGAGAAACACCUUCCAGCACCACCUGCACAUACCAAACACCUUACUUUCGUGGCUUGUAUUGGUACCAGCAGAAGAAAGGCCAAGCCCCGCAGCUGGUCACAUAUCAGGCAGCAGCAGGCUCCAAGCACAACGGCCGUUUCACCACGUGGCUGAACACCACCGCAAAAUACAGCCUCCUGCGGCUGGCAGAAGUCGAGCUGUCUGACAGCGCCUUGUACCUCUGUGCUGUGCAGGACACCCUGGUGCAGGGAGCUUCCUUGGCCGCGCAACAACCUCGGAGAGGGAGGGGGUGUGUCUGAGCAAGGCGGAGCUCUGGGGAAGGGGCCCUCAGCUGUCCCCUGGCAGCGCUGCUUCCCCUGUGCACACAGAGAUCUGCAGGUCAACAUCCUCUUCCUGAAGGGACUGAUGUCUGUGUCAUGAGUGGAAUGAAAAGUGAUGAAACUGACCUGGAACUCCUCUCCAUGUACACUCCUGGGCAACAGGAGUUUUUCCAUGGGCUGUGCAGAGAACACAUGCUGCAUAGUGAUUGGUGUGCCCUGCUGUGCACUGAGGGCUUUAAGCAGCUGGUCUGAAACUCACCUGAGCCUUGCAGUUCCAUGCAGACUGCUUCUUUGUUCUGUUUCUUUUGCCCAAAUCCUCAGCAGGGUGGAGCUUCCCAGAGUGGCCCUUUCUGGAGAAUGCAAUGUUACUGUUACACUGCUUCAAUAAGAACUUCCUUCCCUAAGCUCCACGUAUACAUUUUGGAGCUGAGUGGAGCAACGGAGAUGAUGCAUGAUUUUCUAGUAAUAGCUCUUCCACAUGAGUGCAUUCCAUAUUAUGAGAGACUCCCAUGAUUUGAUGUCUUAGCACGUGUGGUCCAGAUAAGGACCUUAUUAUUCAGCACGAUGGGCACUUUCUGCCAUAGUAGUGUCUGGAAAUGUAGUAGAGCACCCAGAGGUGAUGGAGACUCCAUCACAGCUGAGGAUGCUGUCAAUCACAGCAGAGGUGGAGGAUCCCACAACGGUGUUCUGCAGGGUAAGAGCUGAGGGCCAGGCCUAGCAGGGCUGCUAUCAUGGGAAGGGGUUUAACAAUGACACUGUAUAUUUGCAGCUGUUGGCUGGUGAGUUUGUAGCAUUGGACGGCCAUGGGCACGCCUUGUCAUAGCAGGGCAUGUCUCAAAGAGGUAAGAGGGUUUCCUGGCUUCAUCCAGACAGGACACUUUCUUUUCAUAUGAUGGCCCUGAACUGCCCUCUGC
ensembl:lncRNA